GAAUAUCCACGUGUACUAAUAGGUUCUUUGUACACGAAAUUAAAUUUAUUUUUUUACUUUUUUUGGUAUAAUUUUUAAAACAAAUUAAACAAUAUUCGUAUGUACUUUUAAAAAAAUACUAUAUAGAUGAAAAAGCAAGUUUCCCGGGAACAAGGUCCGGCCGCUCGAGUGUAAAGCAGACAAUUAUUAUGAAACAUAAAGCAAUUUUCUCGAUUUUAAUUGAUUACGUAAAAGGAUGUAAAA
rnacentral:lncRNA from 1 species